UACGAAGGGGGCUAGCGUUGCUCGGAAUUAUUGGGCGUAAAGCGUACGUAGGCGGCUUUGUAAGUCGGUUGUGAAAGCCCCAGGCUUAACCUGGGAAUUGCAAUCGAAACUGCUUGGCUUGAGUUUGGUGGGGGAUAGUGGAAUUCCUAGUGUAGGGGUGAAAUCCGUAGAUAUUAGGAGGAAUAUCGGUGGCGAAGGCGACUAUCUAUGCCAAUACUCACGCUAAGGUACGAAAGCGUGGGGAGCAAACAGG
rnacentral:rRNA from 1 species